rnacentral:rRNA from 1 species
UGAACCAGCGGAAGGAUCAUUACUGAGUACUACACUCUCUACCCUU